GCUUUCUUUAAAACUGCCCCUUACCUUGAUUACAACUUGGGGAGUAGUGAACCGGUUGUAAGGGGCGGUGAAGUCAGAAAGGAGUAAGUGAUUUUAUGUAAUAAUUGAGGAUGGCUUUAGUGCGGCUGCCGCUUCAGAGCCGUAACUGUGAUCCUGGAACAGCCUUGUUCUCUUGGUAAACACCAAGAGACUGUUCUACUAGAUAUAUUUAGCUUUCUGAGGGCAAAACUCUUCAUUCAUGCUGCUUUGAUGGCUUUUGGUGCCUUGCACGUACCAUGUUUCCAACGGUAUCGUGUUAUCACUUCGGAGUUCUCUUCAGCUACGUAUCUGCGAGAAGACUCUUCAGAUCAAGAGGAACUAUACUCAAGGGGCUAUAUCUAAGGAACUGUACCCAAGAAGUUCAUCCAUACCUGGACCUCAAGCCUGAGCCUAGUAGCUGCGGGUAUUGGGGGAGGGAAUGAGUAUAUUUUUUGCAUGUUGGAAGGAUGUGAACUGCUGUGGCCAGAAGGUGGACUGAAGCAUAUGGUAUUUUGAAAACUGAUUUCAACAAUAUUUGUGAUUACACGUGUUCUUCUAGAACCAUGCCACUUAGAAGCUGAGUGUAUUUCUCCUCUUCUUGAACUUGUGUUGGCCUUUGAAUUGAGGAGCUGAUAUGACUUAUAAGGAAGUUAGGUCAGAAAAGGUGGUACUGUUUUUUGCCUGGCUCUCUCAGGUUGCUUACCUUUGGAACCUAGCCACUAUAGUAUGAGGAAGCCUAGUCUACAUACAGAAGCUAUGUGAAGCCAGCCAGGGUUUCAUCUGACAGCGUCAGCCAUCAGACACAUUAGUGAAUGAGGCUUUAUUUAAUUUCAGUCCCCAGCCUUUGAGCCACCCUGGUUGAUGCUAAGUGGAGCAGAGACAAGCUGUUUAAAUUGCAGAUUCAUGAGCAAAGUAAACGGUGUCUUGGUCAAUAUUAGGGUUAUUUAUUUAUUUUUUAUGUAGCCAUAGUAACUGAAAUAAUUAGAAAGAUAUAUAGUUUUAGAGUUUGUUUUUUAAUUAAGUUUUGGUAAUAAAGUUUUGCUGUUUUAUGAAAUGAA